GACGAACGCUGGCGGCGUGCUUAACACAUGCAAGUCGAACGGAAAGGCCCUGCUUUUGUGGGGUGCUCGAGUGGCGAACGGGUGAGUAACACGUGAGUAACCUGCCCUUGACUUUGGGAUAACUUCAGGAAACUGGGGCUAAUACCGGAUAGGAGCUCCUGCUGCAUGGUGGGGGUUGGAAAGUUUCGGCGGUUGGGGAUGGACUCGCGGCUUAUCAGCUUGUUGGUGGGGUAGUGGCUUACCAAGGCUUUGACGGGUAGCCGGCCUGAGAGGGUGACCGGCGACAUUGGGACUGAGAUACGGCCCAGACUCCUACGGGAGGCAGCAGUGGGGAAUAUUGCACAAUGGGGGGAAGCCUGAUGCAGCAACGCCGCGUGCGGGAUGACGGCCUUCGGGUUGUAAACCGCUUUCGCCUGUGACGAAGCGUGCGUGACGGUAAUGGGUAAAGAAGCACCGGCUAACUACGUG
rnacentral:rRNA from 1 species